rnacentral:rRNA from 1 species
GACGAACGCUGGCGGCGUGCUUAACACAUGCAAGUCGAACGGUAAGGCCCUGCUUUUGUGGGGUGCUCGAGUGGCGAACGGGUGAGUAACACGUGAGUAACCUGCCCUUGACUUUGGGAUAACUUCAGGAAACUGUGGCUAAUACCGGAUAGGAGCUCCUGCUGCAUGGUGGGUGUUUGAAAGUUUCGGCGGUUGGGGUUGGACUCGCGGCUUAUCAGCUUGUUGGUGGGGUAGUGGAUUACCAAGGCUUUGACGGGUAGCCGGCCUGAGAGGGUGACCGGCCACAUAGGGACUGAGAUACGGGCAAGACUGAUACGGGAGGAAGCGGUGGGGAAUAGUGCACAAUGGGCGGAAGCCUGAUGCAGCAACGCCGCGUGCGGGAUGACGGCCGUAGGGUUGGAAACAGCUUUAGCCUGUGACGAAGAGUGAGUGACGGUAAUGGGUAAAGAAGCACCGGCUAACUACGUG